CACUAUUUGUAAGGCAACAUAGUUUAAUGAAAAGAAUUGUGGUAAACAUAAUUAGGUGAUUAACACAGAAGAGGCAAAUAGUAAACAAGUCAGAAGAAACAACCCCCUCCAAAAAAUAAAAAGUAACUGAUUUACUUGGUAUCCAAGAAGUUACGUUAUUGCUAGACCUAAUAGAAUGGAGAGAUGGAAUGAUGUAGGGAGAAAGGCUCUGAAAUCACAACUGGUUGGAAAAAAAAUUUUAAUUACAUAAUCUUAUUUGUCACAUCCAUCUGCCAGAUGUAGAGCUUAUUGCUGUUUGUGGAGAUGUGCAGACCAAUAAAAAGCCUAUUUAAUGCUCUCUUAAACUACCAGUAACUAAAAAAAAAAAUUGACAGUGACUGAAAUUAUGAAAACAAAAAAAUUCGGUAGCAUCUUAACAUGUAAUUUCUGACAUAUUUGUAGUGAAUCCAUUGAAGACAAACAUCAGAGGAGUACAACAAAUAACAUUUCAUAGAAACUUUGAAAACUGGCAGCAAAAUUACUACUAAUUUGUUUGAUAACUAGAUGUCUGCUGAAAUUGGUAUAAACCAUUUGCUCAAAAGUAGCCAGGCAUGGUGAUGCAUGCCUGUAUUCCUAGCUACUCCCAGAGGCUGAAGCUGAACAAUCACUUUAGUCCAGGAGUUCGAGACUGCAGUGAGUCAUGAUCACACCAGUGCACUCCAGCCUGGACGACAGAGGGAGACCCUGUCUCAAAAAGUAAAUAGGCCGGAUGCAGUGGGUCAUGCCUGUAAUCCCAGCACCUUGGGAGGCCAAGUCAGGUGGAUCAUUUUGAGGUCUGGAGUUUGAGACUAGCCUGGCCAACAUUUUGAAACCCCAUCUGUACUAAAAAUAUAAAAGUUAGCCAGGUGUGGUGGUGUGCGCCUGUAAUCCCAGUUAUUCGGGAGACUGAGGCAGGAGAAUCACUUGGGCCUGGGAGGCGGAGGUUGUGGUGAGCCAAGAUCUUGCCACUGCACUCCAGUCUGGGUGACAGUGAGACACUGUCUCUAAAUAAAACCACAUUAUCAAAAGUCUGAUCUGCUCUCCUUUACAGAAAUACUUUAUCUUUACUUCUCUCUCGAACCCACAGACUUCAUUCCCACACUUCUGGACCUGUUCAAGAUCAUCUGUAGCAUCCAUGUUUUCAAGUCUGAUUUUUAUUUCUCAGUCUUCAUCUCCACUUGUCAGCAGCAUUUGACACAGCUGAUAACUUUCUUCUCCUUAAAGUUCCUUAUCUUGCCUACCAGGAUUUCAUUUUCUUUCUUGCUUCUCUUCCUUCCCAAAUGGCUGUUCCUUAGACUCCUUACUGGUUUCUCCUUCUUUUCCAGCCUCUAAAUGCUGGAGUGGCGUGAGAUUCAAAUCUUACAACCCGCACUCCUCUGUUCUCUCUCCCUAGGCAAUCUCAUUCAGAUCUCUGGCUGGAUGAAACCCACAUUUGAAUUUCCAGUCCACACCUUUCCUCUGAACACAAGACUCACACUUAACUGCCUACUGUAUAGCACUGCUUGAGUUUCUAACAGGCAUCACAAACUUAAUGUAUUCAAAACGAAACUCUUAAUCUCCCCCCACCCCAAACAAGUCCUGCUGAGAUCUUCCCAAUCUCUUGAAAUGACAACUCCAUUCUUCUAGUGGAGGCUAAAAACUUUGGAGUCAUCUUUGAUUGUUUUAUAUCUCACAUUGACUCCAUCAACAAAUUUUGCCAGCAUUACCUUCAAAAUGUAUCCACAAUCUGAUCUCUGUAACCCACCUCCAGCAAGUUCACUCUGGUCCAAGCCACCAUCAUUAAACCUGGACCGUGGCAAAGGCUUUCUAACUGAUCUUGCCCUUCUAUGCCUGCUUCCACAUUGUUUGCUGUCUCAUACAGUGCAGUAAUCCCUUAAAAAGUCAGAUAAUAUUCCAAUCUUGAAUAAAAGCCAAAGUUAUAGCCAUGAUCCACUAGGCCAUAUGUAAACUGCCUGUUACUUCUGGCUUCUUAUCCACUGACUUCUUUAUUUGCUCUUUUUUUGUUUUUGUUUUUGUUUUUGUUUGAGACUGAUUCUCACUGUCGCCAGGCUGGAGUGCAGUGGGAUGAUCUUGGCUCACUGCAACCUCUGCCUCCCAGGUUCAAGCAAUGCUCCUGCCUCAGCCUCCUGAGUAGCUGGGACUACAGGCACGUGCCACCACACCCAGCUAAUUUUUGUAUUUUUAGUAGAGACGGGGUUUCACCAUGUUGGCCAGGAUGGUCUCCAUCUCUUGACCUCGUGAUCCACCCACCUCAGCCUCCCAAAGUGCUGGGAUUACAGGCGUGAGCCACCGCGCUCAGCCCUGCUUUCUCAUUCUUUUCCCACCAUUCUACCCUCCCUCCCUGUUUUCUCCAGUAUACCAAGCAUGCCUCUGCCUCAGGACCUUUGCACUGCUGUCCCUUUGCCUGGAAUCCUCUUCCCCCUUAGUACUUGCUUGGCUCACACCCUCACUUCUUCAGGUCUCUGCUUAAGUCUUGUCUUGUUUAAUUGAGAACUCUACAUGAUGGCGCCCUACCACCAUGUUGCUCCCUUAACCCUGAUCUAUUUUUCCUAAACCAUUUGCCAUAUAUUUUGUUUAUUGGUUGUUUCCCACUAGAAUGAAUGCUUCAUGUGGCAUACCAUAAAUAUUUGUUGAAUUAAAGGAUAUUUGCCUGCAGAAACGUAUACGAUAAAAAUAGCAAAAUUGAAUUCUCAAGAGGAAAAAGCUUGGGUUCUAUUUCUGUUUGCUUUGUGAAAGAAUAAAAGAAUUACAAAUCCA
rnacentral:lncRNA from 1 species